rnacentral:rRNA from 1 species
AACGAACGUUGGCGGCGUGGAUGAGGCAUGCAAGUCGCACGUGAAAGUCCUUCGGGACGAGUAAAGUGGCGGACGGGUGAGUAACACGUAACCAAGCUGCCCGCGAGACUGGGAUAACCGAGGGAAACUUCGGCUAAUACCGGAUGGCCUUGGGAAGGCGCAUGUUUUCCCAAAGUAAAUGGGGGGAGUCCUUCGGGACCGUCCUGCUCGCGGA